UACGUAGGGUGCGAGCGUUAUUCGGAAUUACUGGGCGUAAAGUGUGCGCAGGUGGCCGCGCAAGUCGAGUGUGAAAUCCCCGGGCUUAACUUGGGAAUUGCGCUCGAAACUACGUGGCUCGAGUAUGGCAGAGGAAGGUGGAAUUCCACGUGUAGCGGUGAAAUGCGUAGAGAUGUGGAGGAACACCGAUGGCGAAGGCAGCCUUCUGGGCCAAUACUGACGCUCAUGCACGAAAGCGUGGGGAGCAAACGGG
rnacentral:rRNA from 1 species